rfam:Gossypium raimondii Chr05_contig_129, whole genome shotgun sequence.
AAUCCAUGGUGAGGGCAUCUUCUCAAUAAAUCCUUAUACCUUUCCCAUGCAUCAUAUAAGGUCUCUAAGUCGAUCUGUACGAAAGAAGAGAUAUCAUUUCUCAACUU